rnacentral:tRNA from 1 species
GGAGGGUAGUUCAAGUGGUAGAGCGCAUGCUUAGUAUGCACAAGGUCCUGGGUUCAAUCCCCAGUACCUCCU